rnacentral:rRNA from 1 species
UAGGGAAUCUUCGGCAAUGGACGAAAGUCUGACCGAGCAACGCCGCGUGAGUGAAGAAGGUUUUCGGAUCGUAAAACUCUGUUGUUAGAGAAGAACAAGGACGUUAGUAACUGAACGUCCCCUGACGGUAUCUAACCAGAAAGCCACGGCUAACUACGUGCCAGCAGCCGCGGUAAUACGUAGGUGGCAAGCGUUGUCCGGAUUUAUUGGGCGUAAAGCGAGCGCAGGCGGUUUAUUAUGUCUGAUGUGAAAGCCCCCGGCUCAACCGGGGAGGGUCAUUGGAAACUGGGAGACUUGAGUGCAGAAGAGGAGAGUGGAAUUCCGUGUGUAGCGGUGAAAUGCGUAGAUAUAUGGAGGAACACCAGUGGCGAAGGCGGCUCUCUGGUCUGUAACUGACGCUGAGGCUCGAAAGCGUGGGGAGCAAACAGG